rnacentral:rRNA from 1 species
GAUAAUGGCUCAGGACGAACGCUGGCGGCGUGCCUAACACAUGCAAGUCGAACGAAGCUCUGCGAUACAAGACUUCGGUCAAGUUGAACGGAUGACUUAGUGGCGGACGGGUGAGUAACGCGUGAGGAACCUGCCUUUCAGUGGGGGACAACAGUUGGAAACGACUGCUAAUACCGCAUAAUGUAUUCUGACCGCAUGAUCGGAAUACCAAAGAUUUAUUGCUGAAAGAUGGCCUCGCG